CCUGCGCAUUCUUCCAGUUUUCAACCAUACGCAAACAGACUACCAAUAGAAGGAUGAAAUCCGUUAUUCUCCUUACUUUAGUGAGCACCGCCAUGGCCAUUGGUAAAGGUGGUGGCGGAGGAGUUGGUUACGGUUACGGAGGAGGAUAUGGCGGUGGCUACGGAGGUGGCUAUGGCGGUGGUUAUGGAGGUGGAAUGGGAGGAGGAAGUGGAGGAGGAGUCGUUAUUGUAACCGGAGGCGGAAGUGGAGGCGGUAUGGGAGGAGGA